rnacentral:rRNA from 1 species
AAAUAACAAUACAGGGCUAAUGUCUUGUAAUUGGAAUGAUGGUGACCCACACCCUCACCAGAGUAGCAAUUGGAGGGCAAGUCUGGUGCCAGCAGCCGCGGUAAUUCCAGCUCCAAUAGCGUAUAUUAAACUUGUUGCAGUUAAAAAGCUCGUAGUUGAAUUUUAGCGUGUUCGAGUUUGCCAUUCGUUUGGCUUUUUCGAGUUCGCUUUUGGGUUUUCCCUUUUUACUUUGAGAAAAUUAGAGUGUUUCAAGCAGACUUUUGUCUUGAAUACUUCAGCAUGGAAUAAUAGAGUAGGACUUUGGUUCUAUUUUGUUGGUUAUUGAACCUUAGUAAUGGUUAAUAGGAACGGUUGGGGGCAUUCGUAUUUA